rnacentral:rRNA from 1 species
UACAGAGGGUGCAAGCGUUGUUCGGAAUCAUUGGGCGUAAAGCGCACGUAGGCGGCCUAUCAAGUCGGGUGUGAAAGCCUGGGGCUCAACCCCAGAAGUGCAUUCGAAACUGGUAGGCUUGAGUGUCGGAGAGGGUGGUGGAAUUCCGAGUGUAGAGGUGAAAUUCGUAGAUAUUCGGAGGAACACCAGUGGCGAAGGCGACCACCUGGACGAACACUGACGCUGAGGUGCGAAAGCGUGGGGAGCAAACAGG